rnacentral:lncRNA from 1 species
ACAAAACAUUACUCACUAAAUACAUUUUAAAAGUUUCUGUUUUCUCAAAUAAGAUAAUUCCAAUUCCACCGUGCAAGAUGAAUUGAUUUCUGUAAGAGUACGGAGACAACAUCAUUCCAAGACCACCAUGGAUACUGUUUAUCGCCACACAUUGUCCACUGGAAAAGCCGGAAAAGAGAGAGAAUUAUUGGUUAGUUUUGAGCAAUGUGGCAUGUCAGACUCGAAACAGGAACCUAUGUACUCCUGUUCACAGUACUCGUUUGUUAUGUACCAGCACAGAGUAGCAUAAUAAUUUCAAAAACUUGGAUCCCACUCUAAAACAAACAUGCUUUGUAUUCGACACAAAAAAUGAUGAAAUAAAAAAAAAAAUCUUUAAAGAUAAAAGGAGAGAAAAUUCCAUGUUCAUUGCAAGCUAGGAUGACACAUUAAUUGAACAGGCAUAAUUUGCCCUGAUAACAUAAAAGAAGAACCGCAGUGUAACUUGGAAACAAUAUCCUCAACAGAAGAGAAGUGAGCACGUAUGACCUGCACUUCCUUGUCCAGCAGUGAUGUCAGAUCCAAUUUAUUUAUUUAUUUAUUUUAUCAAACAUUAAUCAAACGUUGAACCUGCUGAAGUUUUGAGCCACAGAGUUAAAAAACCGGGGCCUUGUUUUGCUACAGGAAUUUCAUAAUAUUGGAAUUGACUUAGCCCAAUAUUUCGCCUGCACCAACAGUAGUCAAUAGCAUGCAAGGAAUGAAAAUCACUCACCCACCUCACUCCGCAGUGCUGACUUGAAAUCACGCCCACCAAAAACGAAAAUAAAAAAGCAAAGAGAACAGACAAAACAAAAAGUAAGCCAACAUUUUCAGAUUAAUCUCUGAGCUAAAAGCAGAUAAUAGAUGCUAAACUCAUGUUUCACCUCGCUUAAUACAUACCAUCGAUCAUGUUGAUUCCUUUCUUUCUUCUAGCCCUCUAGCUUCCGGGUACAAUUCUGUAAACAUUUAUACCUAUACCCUUAAUUUUGACAAGAUAAGUGAUUGGUCUAUUCGUAUCACUUGCAACUAACAGUUUAAACCUUCACCCAGCGGAUUAAUGUUUCUUUUCCUCCGUUUGGAAGCUACUUCUUCUUCUAUCAAAAUUCUUCUCUGUCAGUUUCGUAUUCAAUUCUAGAAUGGAGGCGAAGCCAGUGGGCUUAUGAGAAGUUUUUUCCUAUGUUACUUUCAUUUGCAAUAUAUCAACAUAAAACCCAAGUACGGCAAAAGCAUCUAAUCCAAGGAUGAGUGUUGAAGUGGCCCCAACGGACGGCCAGCUGAC